CUGCUCAGCCAGUCUCUUCCUGUUCUGGUAGCGGACCUGGAAAAAAAAAACAAGAAAAGGACAGUUCCAUCUAAUUCUUUCACAAUGAAUUAGAAUAGAAGACUUAAUUAUCAAUUGGGAACAACUGUGUGUGGCAUUAAUCCAGUUAGCCAUGAACCUCUAGGAGUCAACUUAUUGAAUACAGUUGAGGGAAAUUUGUCAGGGGAAAAUUCCAAGGACAUGAACACUGUCCCUCAGAAGCAGCUUGGAGCCACUGAUUAGUGGGAA